UGGGGAAUAUUGGGCAAUGGGGGCAACCCUGAUCCAGCAAUGCCGCGUGAGUGAUGAAGGCCUUAGGGUUGUAAAGCUCUUUUACCGGGGACGAUGAUGACGGUACCCGGAGAAUAAGCCCCGGCUAACUUCGUGCCAGCAGCCGCGGUAAUACGAAGGGGGCGAGCGUUGUUCGGAAUUACUGGGCGUAAAGGGCGCGUAGGCGGCGACCCAAGUCAGAUGUGAAAGUCCUGGGCUUAACCUGGGGACUGCAUUUGAUACUGGGUUGCUUGAAUUCGGGAGAGGAUAGCGGAAUUCCCAGUGUAGAGGUGAAAUUCGUAGAUAUUGGGAAGAACACCGGUGGCGAAGGCGGCUAUCUGGACCGACAUUGACGCUGAGGCGCGAAAGCGUGGGGAGCAAACA
rnacentral:rRNA from 1 species